AGCGAACGCUGGCGGCAGGCCUAACACAUGCAAGUCGAGCGCCCCGCAAGGGGAGCGGCAGACGGGAGAGUAACACGUGGGAACGUGCCCUUUGGUUCGGAACAACCCAGGGAAACUUGGGCUAAUACCGGAUAAGUCCGUAAGGAGAAAGAUUUAUCGCCAAAGGAGCGGCCCGCGUCUGAUUAGCUAGUUGGUGAGGUAACGGCUCACCAAGGCGACGAUCAGUAGCUGGUCUGAGAGGAUGAUCAGCCUCACUGGGACUGAGACACGGCCCAGACUCCUACGGGAGGCAGCAGUGGGGAAUAUUGGACAAUGGGCGCAAGCCUGAUCCAGCCAUGCCGCGUGGGUGAUGAAGGCCCUAGGGUUGUAAAGCCCUUUCGGCGGGGAAGAUAAUGACGGUACCCGCAGAAGAAGCCCCGGCUAACUUCGUGCCAGCAGCCGCCGUAACAC
rnacentral:rRNA from 1 species